rnacentral:rRNA from 1 species
UUUAAAGAUUGUAAAAUACUUUCAGCCGGGAAGGAAGGCUUUGAGGUUAAUUACCUCAGCCAAUGGACGUUACCCGCAGAAGAAGCACCGGUUUAAAUUCGUGCCAGCAGCCGCUGUAAUUCGGAGGGUGCAAGCGUUAAUCGGAAUUACUGGGCGUAAAGCGCACGCAGGCGGUCUGUCAAGUUGGAUGUGAAAUUCCCGGGCUCAACCUGGGAACUGCAUUCGAAACUGGCAGGCGAGAGUCUUGUAGAGGGGGGUAGAAUUCCAGGUGUAGCGGUGAAAUGCGUAGAGAUCUGGAGGAAUACCGGUGGCGAAGGCGGCCCCCUGGACAAAGACUGACGCUCAGGUGCGAAAGCGUGGGGAGCAAACAGGAUUAGAUACCCUGGUAGUCCACGCCGUAAACGAUGUCGACUUGGAGGUUGUGCCCAUGAGGCGUGGCUUCCGGAGCUAACGCGUUAAGUCGACCGCCUGGGGAGUACGGCCGCAAGGUUAAAACUCAAAUGAAUUGACGGGGGCCCGCACAAGCGGUGGAGCAUGUGGUUUAAUUCGAUGCAACGCGAAGAACCUUACCUACUCUUGACAUCCAGAGAACUUUCCAGAGAUGGAUUGGUGCCUUCGGGAACUUUGAGACAGGUGCUGCAUGGCUGUCGUCAGCUCGUGUUGUGAAAUGUUGGGUUAAGUCCCGCAACGAGCGCAACCCUUAUCCUUUGUUGCCAGCGGUCCGGCCGGGAACUCAAAGGAGACUGCCAGUGAUAAACUGGAGGAAGGUGGGGAUGACGUCAAGUCAUCAUGGCCCUUACGAGUAGGGCUACACACGUGCUACAAUGGCGCAUACAAAGAGAAGCGACCUCGCGAGAGCAAGCGGACCUCAUAAAGUGCGUCGUAGUCCGGAUUGGAGUCUGCAACUCGACUCCAUGAAGUCGGAAUCGCUAGUAAUCGUAGAUCAGAAUGCUACGGUGAAUACGUUCCCGGGCCUUGUACACACCGCCCGUCACACCAUGGGAGUGGGUUGCAAAAGAAGUAGGUAGCUUAACCUUCGGGAGGGCGCUUACCACUUUGUGAUUCAUGACUGGGGUGAAGUCGUAACAAGAACCAGGC